rnacentral:rRNA from 1 species
UACGGUAGGGUGCAAGCGUUAAUCGGAAUACUGGGCGUAAAGCGUGCGCAGGCGGUGGAUGUAAGAACAGAUGUGAAAAUCCCAGGGCUCAACCUUGGAAACUGCAUUUGUGACUGCAUCGCUGGAGUGCGGCAGAGGGGGAUGGAAUUCCGGCGUAGUAGCAGUGAAAUGCGUAGAGUAAUGUGGGGGAAACACCGAUGGCGAAGGCCAGCCCCCUGGGUCAAGACUGAACGCUCGAUGCACGAAAGCGUGGGGAGCAAACAGG